rnacentral:rRNA from 1 species
AUUGAACGCUGGCGGCAGGCCUAACACAUGCAAGUCGAACGAGUGGCGGACGGGUGAGUAAUGUCUGGGAAACUGCCUGAUGGAGGGGGAUAACUACUGGAAACGGUAGCUAAUACCGCAUACCAUCGGAUGUGCCCAGAUGGGAUUAGCUAGUAGGUGGGGUAAAGGCUCACCUAGGCAACGAUCCCUAGCUGGUCUGAGAGGAUGACCAGCCACACUGGAACUGAGACACGGUCCAGACUCCUACGGGAGGCAGCAGUGGGGAAUAUUGCACAAUGGGCGCAAGUAUGAUGCAGCCAUGUCGCGUGUAGGAAGAAGGCCUUCGGGUUGUAAAGUACUUUCGGCGGGGAGGCGGUACCCGCAGAAGAAGCACCGGCUAACUACGUGCCAGCAGCCGCGGUAAUAC